rnacentral:lncRNA from 1 species
CUACAAAAGUAAAAAUGAGAAAUGAAAAGCGGGGAAACAAAAUAAAGAAUGUAGUGAUAAUGGGGUAUCCCAGUCCCGUAGAUAAUAAUAAGGUACCCCCCGACACCCGAAUCAUACAUGAGUCACCCCUGGGAGCAGGUGGAGGACUUCGGUCAAUCAGCCCCGCUCUCCAUAAUCGGCUCUGCUCUAGCACAUCACUACCCCUCUGUGCACCUCAAAGCCUAUCCACAAACUUCUUCACCUCUCUCCCCACCUCCUGAACUGGGCAUGAUCCUUUAGCCCAUGUC